rnacentral:tRNA from 1 species
GGGGAUUUAGCUCAGUGGUAGAGCGCUUGCCUAGAAAGCGUAAGGCCCUGGGUUCGGUCCCCAGCUCA